CUCAAAGUUGGAACCUGUUUGGCCUAGCUAAACCGGAUUGUAGACUGUAGAAGUGUUUUCCAGGCAAGCCGAGUAAAUAAGUCCUUUGGAACAGGGCAUCAUAGAGGGUGAGAAUCCCGUCUUUGGCUUGAGCAUUUGCCUUUUGUGAUACGCUUUCAAAGAGUCAGGUUGUUUGGGAAUGCAGCCUAAAUUGGGUGGUAAAUCUCACCUAAAGCUAAAUAUUGGCGAGAAACCGAUAGCGAACAAGUACCGUGAGGGAAAGAUGAAAAGAACUUUGAAAAGAGAGUUAAACAGUAUGUGAAAUUGUUAAAAGGGAACCGUUUGGAGCCAGACUGGCUUGUCUGUAAUCAAUCUAGGCUUCGGCCUGGAUGCACUUGCAGGCUAUGCCUGCCAACGACAAUUUGACUUGAGGGAAAAAACUAGGGGAAAUGUGGCCCACUUGUGGGUGUUAUAGUCCCUUAGAAAAUACCUUGGGUUGGAUUGAGGAACGCAGCGAAUGCUUAUUGGCGAGUUUUCCAGGAAGGUUUUCUGAGGUACUACGGUAUCAAGGUUGAUCUUUUUGGUUAUACUUCUAUU
rnacentral:rRNA from 3 species